GACGUAGGGUCCAAGCGUUGUCCGGAUUUACUGGGCGUAAAGAGCGCGUAGGCGGCUUGAUAAGUGUGGUGUGAAAUCUCCAGGGCUUAACCCGGAAACUGCACCGCAGACUGUCAGGCUUGAGGAAUGCAGAGGUAACUGGAAUUCCUGGUGUAGCGGUGAAAUGCGCAGAUAUCAGGAAGAACACCUAUGGCGAAGGCAGCACUCUGGGACGGUACUGACGCUGAGACGCGAAAGCGUGGGGAGCGAACAGG
rnacentral:rRNA from 1 species